rnacentral:rRNA from 1 species
CAGCAGCCGCGGUAAAACGUAGGUGGCAAGCGUUGUCCGGAAUUAUUGGGCGUAAAGGGCUCGCGGGCGGUUUCUUAAGUCUGAUGUGAAAGCCCCCGGCUCAACCGGGGAGGGUCAUUGGAAACUGGGAAACUUGAGUGCAGAAGAGGAGAGUGGAAUUCCACGUGUAGCGGUGAAAUGCGUAGAGAUGUGGAGGAACACCAGUGGCGAAGGCGACUCUCUGGUCUGUAACUGACGCUGAGGAGCGAAAGCGUGGGGAGCGAACAGGAUUAGAUACCCCAGUAGUCCCUGUCUCUUAUAC